UACGUAGGCAGCGAGCGUUGUUCGGAAUUACUGGGCGUAAAGAGUGUGUAGGCGGUGCUCUAAGUUCGGUGUGAAAUCUCCUGGCUCAACUGGGAGGGUGCGCCGGAAACUGGAGUGCUUGAGCGUGGGAGAGGAAAGCGGAAUUCCUGGUGUAGCGGUGAAAUGCGUAGAUAUCAGGAGGAACACCUGUGGUGUAGACGGCUUUCUGGACCAUAGCUGACGCUGAGGCGCGAAAGCUAGGGGAGCAAACAGG
rnacentral:rRNA from 1 species